CUGUGCUGUAGUGGUAUAUUCUUGCUGCAUUAAUUCACUGUCCCUUUCUUUGUUCCGCACUUUGGUGUCAGUGACUUUUUUGUAAAAGUUUUGUGGGUUGUUUUUGUUUUCUUUGUUCACUUUGGUUGUAUUUGCUCUGCAUUGAGUAGAAUACUUUGGUAUUAUUCAUGCUUACCAUGCCUGCAAACAUCUGUCUACCAGAAUUGAAACUUACACGUAGCUUAGUGUCUAGUGUGACUUGCAGAUGAGGUGAUUAGACUUUUAUUGUAUUAUGGUAAAUAUAGAAAAAAAAAUUUGAAUAGUGCAUCUACACUAAGUGUUGAGAAUUAGAAGCAAGUACUACGGUGGCGCCACGCUGGUACGCAGGUGGUACACAUGCUUUAACUUAUCUCAUUGACCGAUAGGAUGACAUACUUUUGCAUGUACUCAUACAUGUACAUGAAUCUGGUGCCCAUAGCAUCCCUCCAUCUAUUCCACGGUCAUGUAUUGUAAUCAAUGCAAUUGAAGGGAGAGAGGAAAAGGAGGGGCAGGCUCUGUGCUGUAAGGUGGCUGUAAAAUACCGGUACGACGCAUUUUUAGAAUCGGGAAAAAGGUGGUUUUGCCACUUGGACGAUGAUAACUACCUCAAUGUGUUGAACCUAUUGCAGCUAUUACAAAGCUACAACCACCAGCAAGACCUGUACCUAGGUAGGGCCAGCCUUUCCCAUCCCAUACAGGCACUGGACAGGGAUAAAGGAUAUGUGAGUAUCUCACAAUGGCCUAAACCUCCU